GCAUCGAACUGCCGUCCCGUCCUCCUCUUCAAUCCUUUUUCUCCCAGGCGCGCUACCCAUGCCCUGGCGGGUGCAUUUUGGGGAUCCUGUGCUGUGUACCUGUGAAACGGAAUCCGAAAGUCCCACCGUCCCUAUCCGCCCGACGUCUCUCUGGGGCGUGGGGUGGACCUCGUAGCAGUCCCCGUGUUCCAAGCAUGCGCCACAACAUGUGCCGCUGCCGUGGCCCACGGGAUCCUGCUUGUGCUCUCGGAUGCGGAAAAUUACAUGGGCGCGGGGUCUCGGCCCCUAUCCGUCCAACCAAGCGUUUGUCGCUCGACACGCACGACGACCUCGCACCGCCUUGACCCUCCCUCGUCCCCUCGGGCUCGUUGGAGCGGCUCAUGCGGCGCCGGCGUCGCGGAGGAAUGCUACCUGGUUGAUCCUGCCAGUAGUCAUAUGCUUGUCUCAAAGAUUAAGCCAUGCAUGUGUAAGUAUGAACUAAUUCAGACUGUGAAACUG
rnacentral:misc_RNA from 1 species